ACCCUGUAUCAUGUUUGUAAUGAACCUAGAAAUAUUAUUCCUCCCAAAACUUUAAAGCAAUAAAUUCACAUGCAUCUAGUCAUCACUUUGUGGGUCAUUCUUUCACAGCAUACACAAAAUCAGCAACUCACCUUAACAUCAAUUUGACAUAGGUACAAUAAAGAUCUGAUGGAAUGUUGACCCAUGUUACUUGGAGAACCAUCUUCAACUGAACAAGGCUUGCAUUUUCAUACCCAUUUCUUGAAUGCACAACACAGGUCCUCAAUUGCGUUCAGAUCAGGAGAAUUUGGGACCCAAUUCAGGACUUGACUCCAUUAUAGCAAAGCCAAGCAGUAGUGGAGCAUGCAGUAGAUAGCUUUGAGAGAUCUUGCUGAAACAUUAAUUCUUCCUAUGGACAAAGAUAGACCUAGAAGGCAGGAAAUGUUAUUCCAAGAUUUCCUGGUAGCAUUUUGCAUUGAUAUACCCAUCAUAUUAAACCAAAUCACCUAUUCCAGAAGAGGCAAAACUUCUCUACUCUCUCACAGUACCUGGAAACUUUACUUAUUGUUUCAUACAGCUUUGGCAGAGUCCUUCAUUUGGUUUGUGGAUGAUUUU
rnacentral:lncRNA from 1 species